AACCGAGUGAACAUCCUCUAUGGUACUCUCACUGAAUUCUGCACUCCAACUAGUUGUCCAGUCAUGAAUGCUGGACCAGUAUACUCGUAUAAGUGGGCUGAUGGGGUUACCACAAAAGAACCAAUAAAGGUCUCUACUCCAAAAUAUGUUUGAGUACUUAAUGGAUUGGAUUGAAGUUCAGCUAGAUGAUGAGUCAAUAUUCCCUCAAAGAUUGGAUGUGGUGAAGACAAUCUUCAAGAGGCUGUUUCGUGUGUAUGAUUUUUUAAUUUAAAUGCUCAUAUGUUUUUUUUUUGUUUAAUUGUAUUAUAUUUAAGUAGUAAGAAUCAGUGAUGAGUUAGGGGAGUAGG